rnacentral:lncRNA from 1 species
GGGGAGAAGGCCUCAUCCUCCAGGCCUUGGCCCACGAAGUGAGGAAGAGAAUUGGGUCACGAACUGGGUGGAAAAGCCUGACAGCCACAUGAGUGACUGUGUGGGCAGCAUUGGGUGACAGUUGAAGGGGAACCGAGAGUGAGGGCUGCGACAGCCAGAGGAGGGUGUUCAGGGACGGACUGUGGGCCGCCACUCCCCAUUCCUACAUGCCACUUCCUCCUGCCCCCAGGAGGUGGCAGCAGAAGUGAGCGGAGCACCCUGCAAGGCUGCUCUGGCCCCUCCCUGGGCCCAGCACCCAGGGACUCCUGAGCUCUCGGGGGCCACGUGUGAGCGAGCCAUGGAGAGGGUCCCUGGUCACACCACACAGACAGAGGGGAUGGACCAGCCCGCACCACAGACCGGAAGGAAAGGUCCAGCACUGACACUGAGGGAGCUGGUUCUGCUGCCACCCAGCCCAGGACCCAGCUUUCCACUGCUGCCCUGUGGCUGUGGUCAUGGCAGUCAGGGGAGGUGGCCACGUGAAAUUGUUCACCGAGGAUUCACCACAAGGGCUGGGGAUUUAGCUCAGUGGUUCCUCUGCCUGCCUUUCGAGCACAAGGUUCCAAGUUUGGUCCCCAGAACAACAA